GAACUUAAGCAUAUCAAUAAGCGGAGGAAAAGAAACCAACCGGGAUUGCCUCAGUAACGGCGAGUGAAGCGGCAAGAGCUCAAAUUUGAAAGCUGGCUCCUUCGGGGUCCGCAUUGUAAUUUGCAGAGGAUGCUUCGGGUGCAGCCCCCGUCUAAGUGCCCUGGAACGGGCCGUCAUAGAGGGUGAGAAUCCCGUAUGGGGCGGGGUGUCUGCGUCCGUGUGAAGCUCCUUCGACGAGUCGAGUUGUUUGGGAAUGCAGCUCUAAAUGGGUGGUAAAUUUCAUCUAAAGCUAAAUACUGGCCGGAGACCGAUAGCGCACAAGUAGAGUGAUCGAAAGAUGAAAAGCACUUUGAAAAGAGAGUUAAACAGCACGUGAAAUUGUUGAAAGGGAAGCGCUUGCAACCAGACUCGCUCGCGGGGUUCAGCCGGGCUUCGGCCCGGUGUACUUCCCCGCGGGCGGGCCAGCGUCGGUUUGGGCGGCCGGUCAAAGGCCUCCGGAAUGUAGCGCCCUUCGGGGCGCCUUAUAGCCGGGGGUGCAAUGCGGCCAGCCUGGACCGAGGAACGCGCUUCGGCACGGACGCUGGCAUAAUGGUUGUAAACGACC
rnacentral:rRNA from 1 species